ensembl:snRNA U6 U6 spliceosomal RNA
CUUGCUGCAACAAAACACACUAAAAUUGAAACUAUAUAGAGAGGAUUUCCAAGGCCCCUGCACAAGGAUGACACACAAAUUCAUGAAGUGUUUUGUAUUAAA